UGAAAAAAAGGUUUGAGGAGCGGUGCAGUAAGUAACACAAUGGACCUCAAUGCGGAAGACCAGGGUGGGUGGGUUGGAGGGUGCAGGAGACAUACAUUCACCACUAAGAUAACAUGCUGGUAGUAGGAAAGCGGCAGCACAAGCAGUGCCGGAAACAAAGUUUC